rnacentral:rRNA from 1 species
AGAGUUUGAUCCUGGCUCAGGAUGAACGCUAGCUACAGGCUUAACACAUGCAAGUCGAGGGGCAGCAUGGUCUUAGCUUGCUAAGGCUGAUGGCGACCGGCGCACGGGUGAGUAACACGUAUCCAACCUGCCGUCUACUCUUGGCCAGCCUUCUGAAAGGAAGAUUAAUCCAGGAUGGCAUCAUGAGUUCACAUGUCCGCAUGAUUAAAGGUAUUUUCCGGUAGACGAUGGGGAUGCGUUCCAUUAGAUAGUAGGCGGGGUAACGGCCCACCUAGUCAACGAUGGAUAGGGGUUCUGAGAGGAAGGUCCCCCACAUUGGAACUGAGACACGGUCCAAACUCCUACGGGAGGCAGCAGUGAGGAAUAUUGGUCAAUGGGCGAUGGCCUGAACCAGCCAAGUAGCGUGAAGGAUGACUGCCCUAUGGGAUGUAAACUUCUUUUAUAAAGGAAUAAAGUCGGGUAUGCAUACCCGUUUGCAUGUACUUUAUGAAUAAGGAUCGGCUAACUCCGUGCCAGCAGCCGCGGUAAUACGGAGGAUCCGAGCGUUAUCCGGAUUUAUUGGGUUUAAAGGGAGCGUAGAUGGAUGUUUAAGUCAGUUGUGAAAGUUUGCGGCUCAACCGUAAAAUUGCAGUUGAUACUGGAUGUCUUGAGUGCAGUUGAGGCAGGCGGAAUUCGUGGUGUAGCGGUGAAAUGCUUAGAUAUCACGAAGAACUCCGAUUGCGAAGGCAGCCUGCUAAGCUGCAACUGACAUUGAGGCUCGAAAGUGUGGGUAUCAAACAGGAUUAGAUACCCUGGUAGUCCACACGGUAAACGAUGAAUACUCCCUGUUUGCGAUA